rnacentral:rRNA from 1 species
CACCCUGCCAGUAGUCAUAUGCUUGUCUCAAAGAUUUAACCAUGCAUGUCUAAGUAUAAACAAUUCUAUACUGUGAAACUGCGAAUGGCUCAUUAAAUCAGUUAUAGUUUAUUUGAUAAUAUCUACUACUCGGAUAACCGUGGUAAUUCUAGAGCUAAUACGUGCGUAAAAACCCGACUUACGAAGGGUUGUAUUUAUUAGAUACAAAACCAAUGCAGGGUAACCUGGUUUUUUGGUGAUUCAUAAUAACUUCUCGGAUCGCAUGGCUCACGCCGGCGGCGUUUCAUUCAAAUUUCUGCCCUAUCAACUUUCGAUGGUAAGGUAUUGGCUUACCAUGGUUACAACGGGUAACGGAGAAUUAGGGUUCGAUUCCGGAGAGGGAGCCUGAGAAACGGCUACCACUUCCAAGGAAGGCAGCAGGUGCGCAAAUUACCCAAUCCUGACACAGGGAGGUAGUGACAAAAAAUAACAAUACAGGACUUUUAAAGCCUUGUAAUUGGAAUGAGUACAAUUUAAACCCCUUAACGAGUAACAAUU